ensembl:snRNA U6 U6 spliceosomal RNA
GUGCAUGCUUUGACAGCACAUAAACUAAAAUUGGAACAAAACAAUUUGUACGGUCCCUAUGCAAAAAUGACAUAAAAAUGUGUGAAGCAUUCCAUAUAAAA